UGCCCUGUGACAUUGUUUAACGGCCGCGGUAUUAUGACCGUGCGAAGGUAGCGUAAUCACUUGUCUUUUAAUUGAAGACCUGUAUGAAAGGCAUCACGAGAGUUUACCUGUCUCUAUUUUCUAAUCAAUGAAAUUGAUUUCCCCGUGCAGAAGCGGGGAUAUAACCAUAAGACGAGAAGACCCUAUGGAGCUUUAAACACUUAAGUUACUAUCUUACUCAUUAAUUAAUCUAAAGACUUAAUCACUCUAAUAGCUAACCUAACUUAAUGUUUUCGGUUGGGGCGACCAAGGAGUAAAAGAAAACCUCCUUAUCGACUAAGUAUUUUUACUUAAAAACCAGAACGACAGUUCUGAUUAAUAGAAUAUCUAACGAAUAAUGACCCAGGGCCAUACCCUGAUCAAUGAACCAAGUUACCCUAGGGAUAACAGCGCAAUCCUUUCUAAGAGUCCAUAUCGCCGAAAGGGUUUACGACCUCGAUGUUGGAUCAGGACAUCCUAAU
rnacentral:rRNA from 1 species